UACGAAGGGGGCUAGCGUUGCUCGGAAUCACUGGGCGUAAGGAGCGCGCAGGCGGUCGUUCAAGUCGAGUGUGAAAGCCCCCGGCUCAACUGGGGAGGGUCAUUCGAUACUGAUCGACUCGAAGGCAGGAGAGGGUAGUGGAAUUCCCGGUGUAGUGGUGAAAUGCGUAGAUAUCGGGAGGAACACCAGUGGCGAAGGCGACUACCUGGCCUGUUCUUGACGCUGAGGCGCGAAAGCUAGGGGAGCAAACGGGG
rnacentral:rRNA from 1 species